rnacentral:tRNA from 1 species
AGAAAGUUAGUCUAACUAAGACAGUUGAUUUCGACUCAACAAAUUACAGAUAACCCUGUAACUUUCUC